CAAUUCAGGCAUGCAUGACUCAGGUCAUUUUUGGGGAAUAAUGUAAAUGAUAAUAGUAUGUAGGAAGUGCUGAGUUUGGCUACUCUCUCACAAACUUGCUACCAGAUAAAAAUAAAAACAGGUUUCAGGCAAAAUUCAGGGACACAAAAGGCAUUUAUUAAUCAAGCAUUCAUAAGUAAGUGGCAAGUGUAGCUCAAAUUUUCUGUAACCUCACAGGUAUCCUAUUGCUUUGUGUAAUUCUUUUAAGUGCUUACACUUCCUUUUGUAUGCAAAAUUCAUUGAAGACAGACAAUGGCAUUCUGGGGGAGAAAGAUUAGGAAGUCAGAACUAUGAAACCAGUAGCUAAAUAAGGGACCAAGUAAAGAAUCGAACCUCUAAUGUUACCUCUAAUACUACAUGUCAUAGUUUGCUGGAUUCUUAUGUUUUUUCAGGGAUUGAGGGGUGUUUCUAAAUCAUUUAACCCAAUCUACAUAUUUUGACUAUUUUUUUUUCAAUAAUUUUUUUUAUUUUCCCACUGUACAGCAAGGCGGUCAGGUUAUCCUUACAUGUAUACAUUACAGUUAUAUUUUGACUAUUUUUAAUUUCACCAGUAAUAGUUUUUCCCCCUUUUUUAGCUGUGUCCACAGCACAUGGAAGUUCCUGAGCCUGGGAUUGAACCAUGUCACAGCAGCGACCUUAGCUGCUGCAGUGACAAUGCCAAAUUCUUAAACCCUGUGCCACAAGAGAACUCCAAUGUAUUUUGAACAUAUUGUUUUGAUUAAUAAGUCACUGAUGGACCAACAAAAUCCAAUUUUUAAUAAAAUAGCAAGGAGUACCCUGGUAGCUCUGCAGUUACUGAUCCAGCCCUGUCACUGCUGUGGCUUGGUCACUGCUAUGGCAAGGGUUUGAUUCCUUACCUGGAAACUUCUGAAUACCAUGGGCUUGGCCAAAAAAAAAAAAAAAUUAAUAGUUUGCAAAGUGUCAUUUGUUGAUCUGAAAGAUUUGUAGAAGAUGCUCUGGAAUCUUGGUUUUUUUUUUAUGUAAUGCCAGCUCACCACUCUGUUAUGAAUCCUAACAGCAAGUUUACCUAACCACCCUAGCAUUAAAAGUUAAACUAACUGGUAUCUACUUAAUCUCACAUUGAUUAUACUGAAGUACUACCAGACAUCAUGACGGGAACCUCUGGCUUCAGCCCUUAGUCAUUCUUUGGAAUGUGUAGCCAAGGGUACCAACCUUCUCACAUAUAUAUCUGCAUCGCAGUGGGACUUAGAAUUACAGGGGAAAAAAGUUUGUUCUAAGUCUUGUAGGAGUAUGCAGUAUGCUGAUUACCAAGCAAUAACAACUAUUUUCCAUUUUUUACUAUAAAUUUACUGAUGAUCAAACUAAUACAUAUUGUGAUAAAGAUUGCCAAUUGUCUCCUAUAUUAAAGAGCAUUUGGAACAAUGUACAAGUAUUAAAAACAAAGCAGGAGAAUAACAAUAACUCUAUGACCCAGUCAACCAUGGUGAAGUGCUAUCUUAGCAGUCAUUGUGGCUUCCCUCCCCUUCCCUUUUCAGGAUGACACACUCUCUUGGUGCUGGCAGUGUUAGCUGCUAAUGGCCCUAUUCAGGCAUUGCCCUUGACCUCACAGGGCAGUCUGUGUUCAAUAACUGGUUGUUGAGGGACUACCAGAAGCCCAGCCUUCUUGCCUCAAUUGGGACGACUCUGGAGGGCCAUCCUAGUUCCAGAGUUCUAUCUAGGAAUGGCCAUGGCCUCUGUUGUAAUUGCUUUAUGGUUCAUCCUCCUGCUCUGCCAGUCCUUCUUCCCUCCCCACUCACAACCACCAUUCCCAAGAGCACUGGACAGCAAACUUCCUGCAUGCACAGCUUAGACUGUUGACAGGGAAUCUGACCCAUAUAUACAAUUACAAAUUUGGAAUUCUACUGUAAUACUGUGUUGCAAUCGGAUUUUUUUUUUGGCAUACAUACCAUGCUGGGUAUUCUCUAUUUGCUCCUCCAGCCCCACACUCCAUCCUUCUCCACCCAGCUCUAUUCUGGGAAGCUGACCUCUGUAGACUCCACCAGUGGGCUCUCUCACCCAGCCUUCCACCCAGGAGGGAGAUAGAGGAGAUCCCUCCUUGCCUGGCUGUGGUUGGAAGUGGCAUCAUUUUUCUCCUGGAGGCCAUUUGUCCUGCCAUGAGAUCAUCUUCAGCAGUCAGUCUUGUCAGGCACCCUGCUUGAGCAUGUCAUCUACUUCCUGGCAGGACCGUGGCUGGUAUGAAGAUGAACUGAAAGCAUUUCUCCCUUCUUUAAAUCUUCUAAAACAUGAUUUUCGUUGGCCACAUACAAUUCCGUCACAUAGACCUACUAGUGUUUUAUUUAACACUUCUCUAUUGAAGUAUAAAUACAAUUUUUACACUGAUUUUUUUUAUCAUAACAUAAAGUUUAUUAGGCCAUUUAAAACUGCCAAUAAACACCUCUUAAAAUGAUCGCUAUAUUCUUGAGUGGAGUGUGUUCCUUGAGUUGUUUAUUCAUGUUUAUAAGGACAAAAAUGCAUAUCAAGAUAAUUGGUUGGCUACCCUCUGUAGCUACUAUAGAGUAAAGCAAAGCUGUAGCCCAAACUCGCAACUUAGUUCUGGGCUCCUAACACAGUUGAACUGGUGUAAAUAAUACUUGCACUUGAAUCUGAAAUUUUUUUUCUGUUUUCUGGGCCAGGCUUUGCUUGGAUGCUGGAUAAUGGACUGCGUGAUAGCUUUUUACUCCUUGUGUGCUUGUAAUUCUAGAAAAAAUAAAAAGCAUUUAGUGCAAAGAAUUUGGAAGAGAAUAUAGUGUUGAUCAUCAAGUACCUCAUAUAACAAUAGCACCAUAAUGAAACAGUAAGAGGAGGUUUUUAAUCAAGGAGUAUGAGACUAGAAUAAACUAAACAUGAAAUUUAAAAUUCUGGGCUGCCAGUUCUCUUCAUAGUUUGGUGACCCUGUGUAGUUCUCUUUACCUAAGUUAAUCUUCUUCUAGUAUUAUGGUACUUCUAAUAUUAUGGUAGGUCACCUCAUGAACUCAUUCACUCAUUCGUUCAAUGCACUCAAUAAGUAUCGAGCACUUACUAUGUUGUAGGCACCACGAUGUGGCUGUGAACAAGUUAGAUAAUAUACGUCUCUCAAGAGUCAGAUAAUUGACAAGGGAAAAAAUAAACAAGACCAUCAUAAAUAUUGUUACCUACUAGAAGGAAAUAGGUAGGGUGAUGAAAGAGUAAAUGAGGCAGAGCCCUUUAGACUGGCUGGUCAGGGAUAAAUACAAACCACACAUUAUGUGUUAUAGCAGGUAGCAUGCUAGAGUGGAGGAAAGGCAUGGAUUUGAAGCAUGGUUUGUACAAGUUCCUUAACCUCUCUGAACACCUGGGCAUUCUGAAUGUAGCUGAUGAUAGUGCCUACUACUUAAAAUAGUAGUGGAAUUGAAUCAGAGAAAAUUCCUAGCACUGUAAGCAUUACUUCCUGCCAGGCCACAAAUACCUAUUAAUAUCCUCUUAAAAUUAUAUAGAACCUGAAUUCUGUCAUGUCCAUUGUGCAAUGACCCAACUUCAGGACAUUGUUCUCUAUAUCUUUGAAUCAAUUUAAUUCAUCAGAUAUUUACUGAGCACU
rnacentral:lncRNA from 1 species